UUCUCUGGUUUUCCUGCCUGACAUGUGACGUGUUGCGGCCUAUCAGACGCUCCACUGCUGAUUUCUAACACACUCCAAAUGCUAAUGACAGAAGUGGACUCCUGAAUACAUGAACACGUCUUACAUAAUCCUGGGAAUGGUUUUGGGAAUUCCCAGGAAGCGUUUUGGCAGGUUGACCGGCUCAAAGUUUCCUCCGAGCCCAGUUUACUUUGUCCCCGUUUGUUUUUGGAGAGCAGAAGCCCUUUAAUGAUAUUUAUGGAGUCCGGUUGGUGCUUGUUGGCCGGCAUAUUGUCGCCACGGAUCAACAACGAGCGCCGUAUUCCCUGUGCGGGCUUUGGAUGCCAAAUAAUGCCGACAUCAGAAGGAAAUCUGGUCACUUUAAGUAUUUAUGGAUCUUCCAGAUGAAGCCAUUUUAACAGAUUUGGAUCGUCAGGUUGCCGCUUUAUUCCCUUAACUGAUGAUUCCUGGCGUUUUCUAGAUUUUCUUGAGUGUUUUUGGACAUUUUAGUGGAUUUUGUCUGCUGUUGUUUUAGUUUUAAUUUAGUGUUUUUGCUGGGGUUUUGUCAGUUUGUUGGAUUGUUUGAUAGUUUAGUGUGUUUUUGUUGGUUCUUUGUUUGCUUAUAGGGUUUUUGGAUAAUUCAGUGAGUUUUUAUUGGGUUCUGUAUCAGUUCGUUGGGUUUUUUCGAUAAUUAAGACUAUUUUUAUUGGGGUUUUUUCUGUUUGUAGAGUUUUUUGGUAAUUUAGUGUGUUUAGUUGGGUUUCUGUGUCAGUUCGUAGAGUUUUUGUGUAGUUUAGUGUGUUUUGUAUGGUUUCUGUGUUUGUUUGUAGGUUUUUUUGAUAAUUUAAUGUUUUUGUUGGAGGUUUGUGUGGAUCUGUAGGGUUUUUUGAUCAUUUAUUGUGUUUUUGUUGGAGUUUUGUGUGGAUCUGUAGGGUUUUUUGAUCAUUUAUUGUGUUUUUGUUGGAGUUUUGUGUGGCUCUGUAGGGUUUUUUGAUCAUUUAUUGUGUUUUUGUUGGAGUUUUGUGUGGCUCUGUAGGGUUUUUUGAUCAUUUAUUGUGUUUUUGUUGGAGGUUUGUGUGGAUCUGUAGGGUUUUUUGAUCAUUUAUUGUGUUUUUGUUGGAGUUUUGUGUGGAUCUGUAGGGUUUUUGAUCAUUUAUUGUGUUUUUGUUGGAGGUUUGUGUGGAUCUGUAGGGUUUUUUGAUCAUUUAUUGUGUUUUUGUUGGAGUUUUGUGUGGAUCUGUAGGUUUUUUUUGAUCAUUUAUUGUGUUUUUGUUGGAGUUUUGUGUGGAUCUGUAGGGUUUUUUGAUCAUUUAUUGUGUUUUUGUUGGAGGUUUGUGUGGAUCUGUAGGGUUUUUUGAUCAUUUAUUGUGUUUUUGUUGGAGGUUUGUGUGGAUCUGUAGGGUUUUUUGAUCAUUUAUUGUGUUUUUGUUGUUUUGUGUGGCUCUGUAGGGUUUUUUGAUCAUUUAUUGUGUUUUUGUUGGAGUUUUGUGUGGCUCUGUAGGGUUUUUUGAUCAUUUAUUGUGUUUUUGUUGGAGGUUUGUGUGGAUCUGUAGGGUUUUUUGAUCAUUUAUUGUGUUUUUGUUGGAGUUUUGUGUGGAUCUGUAGGGUUUUUUGAUCAUUUAUUGUGUUUUUGUUGGAGGUUUGUGUGGAUCUGUAGGGUUUUUUGAUCAUUUAUUGUGUUUUUGUUGGAGUUUUGUGUGGAUCUGUAGGUUUUUUUUGAUCAUUUAUUGUGUUUUUGUUGGAGUUUUGUGUGGAUCUGUAGGGUUUUUUGAUCAUUUAUUGUGUUUUUGUUGGAGUUUUGUGUGGAUCUGUAGGGUUUUUUGAUCAUUUAUUGUGUUUUUGUUGGUUUGUGUGGAUCUGUAGUUUUUUUUGAUCAUUUAUUGUGUUUUUGUUGGUUUGUGUGGAUCUGUAGGGUUUUUUGAUCAUUUAUUGUGUUUUUGUUGGAGGUUUGUGUGGAUCUGUAGGGUUUUUUGAUCAUUUAUUGUGUUUUUGUUGGAGUUUUGUGUGGAUCUGUAGGGUUUUUUGAUCAUUGAUUGUGUUUUUGUUGGAGGUUUGUGUGGAUCUGUAGGGUUUUUUGAUCAUUUAUUGUGUUUUUGUUGGUUUGUGUGGAUCUGUAGGGUUUUUUGAUCAUUUAUUGUGUUUUUGUUGGAGGUUUGUGUGGAUCUGUAGGGUUUUUUGAUCAUUUAUUGUGUUUUUGUUGGAGGUUUGUGUGGAUCUGUAGGGUUUUUUGAUCAUUUAUUGUGUUUUUGUUGUUUUGUGUGGAUCUGUAGGUUUUUUUGAUCAUUUAUUGUGUUUUUGUUGGAGUUUUGUGUGGAUCUGUAGGGUUUUUUGAUCAUUUCAAGGUUCUCACCAGGAUGUUUUUUUCAGCAUAACGGCAGAUCCUCCCGCAUGCGCAAUAGCCUUCUUUAAAUCUCGCGAGCGGCCGGCCCAGAUGUCAGCCAAUGAGCGUCACGCAGAUGCUCCAAAUGCUCGUGAUUUAGGUCACUGUUCACCAUACAUGGCAUCACGGAAACAACCGAGACAUGCUAAUUGUAACCCGAGAUUGGAAGCGAAUCUUAAUUUUAGACGGGAACGGAUCAAUCGACAGGAAAGUACGACUGAGGUGGGGAGAAAUGAAUAAUUUAACCUAGAUAGGCACCCAGUCGAUAAAAACAAAUGCACAUGGUGUUAUCUGUCAAAAUAACAAUGUAGCGGCCCUAAUCACAGCGUAUCUUUUAAACUGACAGCGUAACGGCCCGUUACACUGUCGUAACGGGCCGUUACGCUGAAAUGCGCUGGCGAGAACCCUGAAUUUAUUGUGUUUUUGUUGGAGUUUUGUGUGGAUCUGUAAGGUUUUUUGAUAAUUUAUUGUUUUUGUUGGGGUUCUGUGUCUACUUGUAGGGUUUUUGUGUAAUUUGGUGUCUUUUUCUCGAGAUUCUGUUUCCGUUUGUUGUUUCUAAAAAAAUAAUUUAGUGUGUUUCACAAACAGUAAAUUUUAAUCGAGACACGUAUAAUAAAAUGCUUAUGAGGGCACUGCAAUUUUGAGAGUUUUUGAAUUUUUAACGGAAACAUGGAGGAAAAAUAAUCUGUUAAAUAUCGUGUUUUUAAACAUAAACUUGGAUGUGUAGUUUGAGGACCGUCAGAA